AUAGUCAAUUUAUUAUAAAUUUUUAUAUGAACAAACUCGAUUGCACUAUUCUCGAACUUAUCAAUAUGUUGGUCACUACAGAGGGAAUCUUAAAGAGUUCAAGGGGUACUGUUCUCACAAUGGAGCAAAUUUCUUCCAAGAGAAAGUCUACUGGGAAGAAGAGGGUUAAAUCCGCUAAGAAGCAGAAGAAGGAGAAUAGGCCAA
rnacentral:lncRNA from 1 species